rnacentral:rRNA from 1 species
UACGGAGGGUGCGAGCGUUGUCCGGAAUCACUGGGCGUAACGGGCGCGUAGGCGGCCUGGUAAGUAGGGGGUGAAAUCCUGCGGCUUAACCGCAGGGCUGCCUUCUAAACUGUCAGGCUCGAGCACGGUAGAGGCAGAUGGAAUUCCCGGUGUAGCGGUGGAAUGCGUAGAGAUCGGGAAGAACAUCAGUGGCGAAGGCGGUCUGCUGGGCCGUUGCUGACGCUGAGGCGCGACAGCGUGGGGAGCAAGCAGG